UGUGAUGGCAACAGCUGAUGGAUUCAACACUGCAGCUGUGCUUCGUCCUGUAGGAUAUGAGGAAAUACUGUCUCUAACAAGGGAUGAAUGGUGUCCAUGUCUCCUGCUGCAGGACAAGCAGUGUGUGGGACAGCCGGGUCUCUUGGGAUACUUUACGCGUGUGGCCAGUGUCACAGAUGGUAAACACCAUGAUAUGAUUUUCGGAAAUCGGUAUUCGUUGAGCUGGAUUUUUGGCACAAUGAAAAGGAAUAUCCUGGCGUAUGAUUUGAAAAGUACUCAGCAGAUGUCCAGCAGAUUGGAUAAUGACAGAAGGCGUCUCCUCAUCCAGAAGUGAAGGAAUCCAAAUACUUGAAAUGAGAUGUCGACCUUUAAUUGCUUCCCAGGGAAUUUCUGAUGAUCUCAGGUGAGCGCCGAGAAGAGGCUGAGUAAUGGAAACAUGAUCUCAGGAGAUUCAACCGGAUCAUACUAAAUCCUGGUUUGGACUGUGGACCAGCAUCCCCUGCAGCAGAUGUUUGCUCCUGGCAUGGCUGCGAACAGCGUGAGCUCCUUCGCUGACAAUCCGGCUCUCAGGAUCCAGCGCCAGCAGCAUGGACUUGGAGAAGCUGUGACAUAAACUCAGCAGGACAGUGGAGUGUAUUCUGGUGCUCUGAUAUUAUGGAACAGAUCAGUCAACCCUGUCUGGAGAGGCGCUCAAUAGGAAAGUCAACUCAAUGAGUGUACGAUUACCGUGGUUACCACAAUGGAUCUACACAUUGUUUGACUCUUUCUAAAUUGAACCUGGAUUAAUAUUUCCCCGUAUAUACAUCUGCUUUUGAUAUUCAGUGUUUAUUCACGCUGUUGCUCUUUCACUGCAGUUGUGACAUAUACUGUGUUAUUAUGGAUACAGUAUCAACAAAUGCUGGAACAGUAAAUGGAAAAUAAUCAGAUGUUAUUUUCAUUUUUAGGUUUAUUCUUUUUACAGACUGAAGGCAGCACUUACACCAAUGCAAUCAUAUACAAAGUGUAUUUUGUGAGGAGCACAACAAAUGUUUUUCUAUUUUGUACAGUUAAUUAAUAUAUAUAAGAUCGAGAAUUCUUCAUUUGAUGUCUUAUAAUUGCGAUCACAAAGAAGCCAUUGUAAUCAAGGUGUUUAUGAAUACAACUAUUGACGCCACAACUCCCAUUGGCAGCCUUCUUUAUUUUUGGUUAAUAAUCUUGUCAAGCUGUUUCUUCUAAUAAUGAUUUAUAGCACCAUCAUUUUUGUUGUGUCUGGGAA